AGGAAAUCCUGCUCGUGUGUACUGGUGCUGUAGUGCUGUGUGGAAUAAUUGGGUUGCUGAUAGGAGUGUGUUUUUCAUGCUACAGAAAGGUCAAGAGGACUAAUAGACAUCAGUCAGAAACAUCAUCAAAAUCUUUACAUUCUGAACUUUAUGCAGAAAUUGGCGAAGAUUCAAACGAAACGUCCAAGGGUCCAAAACAAAGCAGUCCAAGUCAAACUACAAUCGAUGCAGAUAAAUGUGAUUGUAAUCAAAGAAGCAACAGUGAAUACGACUACAGUCACGUGUACAACAUUCUACAACCAAAUUACGGCUCCAACAGGCUUUCUCAUCCCGAUCUCAGUU